CGCCUCCGGGGACAGGUUGUACACGAAGAUGCACCAGCCGGCUCCGGUCGGACCGGUGAGGUUGACGCCGGCCAGGCUGGUCAUGCUGUCGAUGGUGAUGGGCGAGAAUCUGGGGAAAAGAGCAGGAGAGCUACCAUGGGUGUCAUUCUGAAGUUCUCCGUCACAUUCUCUGCUCUACACUGCCCCCUGUCGGUCCGAAAUGAUAAGGCUGGCGCACAGGGCACUGGAGUUCGGGGGGGACUCCACCUGCAUUGUCCUGUACGCGGGCAUCGCACAGUUGGCACCAAAAGUACCCGUUUCGUACGGAUCGACAAUCCGUACGAAACGGGUACCGUGCGGGAUUGUCCCCCACCCUCCCUACAUGCGCCUCCUCCUCCUCCCCCACCUUCACAAAGACACAAUCUGCAUGAUUUUUCCCCCUGCUGACCGAAGUCUGUGAAAGAUCGAGGAGAAAAAAAAACCACAUGAAUUCACAAUGUUGAACGUAAAACCACGGCAUUGCAAGAAAGAACAGAAACCUAGAGAGGGGAAUGAAAAGCAAAACCGGAAUCAAAUUAUACAAAAGAACUGGAGCAAAACGGAAGAUGCAAAAAAACGGAAGUCUGGGAAGUCCAUGCUGGUGGAAGAAAAAAAAAAGAGGACAUUAAAGCAACUGAAACUGACAAUGUUAGUUUGGGAGGAAAUAAAUAAAUAAAUACAUACAUACAUACAUACAUACAUACAUACGUAUGUCAUAUAUUUUUUUCUUAAAACCCAACUAAGGAACAAAACGGUGUAAACAAAGCCAUGCCAGAAUACCCUGUUGUUGAAAGGCCUGGUGUUUAGAGCUGUUAAGUUUUUUUGUUGUUGUUGUUGUUGUUGUUUCCCUCUCGGGGCGGCUUCAGUAACUUGGUUAACUGGUUAGAGCGAACUAAGGAUUACCACUGACUAAUGACUGAUGGUAACUAAUGCUCGAGAUGAUGAAGUGGUAUUCCGAGCACUUUGUUUCAGGGUCUAUUUUGGCAUGGAUGUUUUUUUUUUUUUUUUUUUUUUUUUUUGAAGUACACCUUUUUCAUUUACCUCUUGACUCCGUAGCUGGCGUUUAGUAAAUUGUCGAGUCUGCAACGCAAGAGGGAGAAUGAAGGGGAUGCAGAGGGUUAGUGGUGAGCU